rnacentral:rRNA from 1 species
CAAUUUAAACAACGAAGAGUUUGAUCCUGGCUCAGGAUGAACGCUAGCGACAGGCUUAACACAUGCAAGUCGAGGGGCAGCGGGGGUAGCGAUACCCGCCGGCGACCGGCGCACGGGUGAGUAACGCGUAUGCAACUUACCUAUCAGAGGGGGAUAACCCGGCGAAAGUCGGACUAAUACCGCAUGAAGCAGGGGCCCCG